GAAAUGCUUGUUUUUUUCAUUUAGUGGACGUGUUCUUUGAAUGCGCUCACCGAAUGGAAACAUCAUUUCCUGGCUUUUGUCGUCCCUCGUCCAGCCUCACGGCCGGGCUUGGGUGGCAAUUGCCGGAUACUCGGGAAGAGGCCUUGUGCUUCGACCCACUAUCUACACCUUUUUAGUCUUAACCUCUUCAGCGAAAGCGAGAGCAAUCUUACUUUCAAUGAUAAAAAUUAAAUUAAAA
rnacentral:misc_RNA from 1 species